rnacentral:rRNA from 1 species
UUCGGUAUAAGGUGUGGUUCGCUUCGUAUUAGGAUUUACUCCGAAAGCGAAGAAACUUACAACAAAGAGUCCCUCCCGACUGUUUACCAAAAACACAGCACUCUGCUAACUCGUAAGAGGAUGUAUAGGGUGUGACGCCUGCCCGGUGCUCGAAGGUUAAUUGAUGGGGUUAGCAUUAGCGAAGCUCUUGAUCGAAGCCCGAGUAAACGGCGGCCGUAACUAUAACGGUCCUAAGGUAGCGAAAUUCCUUGUCGGUUAAAUACCGACCUGCAUGAAUGGCGUAACGAGAUGGGAGCUGUCUCAAAGAGGGAUCCAGUGAAAUUGUAGUGGAGGUGAAAAUUCCUCCUACCCGCGGCAAGACGGAAAGACCCCGUGGACCUUUACUACAGCUUGACACUGCUAUUUGGAUAAGAAUGUGCAGGAUAGGUGGGAGGCUUUGAGUAUAUGACGCCAGUUGUAUAUGAGCCAUUGUUGAGAUACCACUCUUUCUUAUUUGGGUAGCUAACCAGCUUGAGUUAUCCUCAAGUGGGACAAUGUCUGGUGGGUAGUUUGACUGGGGCGGUCGCCUCCCAAAUAAUAACGGAGGCUUACAAAGGUUGGCUCAGAACGGUUGGAAAUCGUUCGUAGAGUAUAAAGGUAUAAGCCAGCUUAACUGCAAGACAUACAAGUCAAGCAGAGACGAAAGUCGGUCUUAGUGAUCCGGUGGUUCUGUGUGGAAGGGCCAUCGCUCAAAGGAUAAAAGGUACCCCGGGGAUAACAGGCUGAUCUCCCCCAAGAGCUCACAUCGACGGGGAGGUUUGGCACCUCGAUGUCGGCUCAUCGCAUCCUGGGGCUGGAGCAGGUCCCAAGGGUAUGGCUGUUCGCCAUUUAAAGCGGUACGCGAGCUGGGUUCAGAACGUCGUGAGACAGUUCGGUCCCUAUCUGCCGUGGGCGUAAGAAGAUUGAAGAGAUUUGACCCUAGUACGAGAGGACCGGGUUGAACAAACCACUGGUGUAGCUGUUGUUCUGCCAAGAGCAUCGCAGCGUAGCUAAGUUUGGAAAGGAUAAACGCUGAAAGCAUCUAAGCGUGAAGCCAACUCUAAGAUGAAUCUUCUCUAAGCUCUCUAGAAGACUACUAGUUUGAUAGGCUGGGUGUGUAAUGGAUGAAAGUCCUUUAGCUGACCAGUACUAAUAGAGCGUUUGGCUUAUCUUUAAUAAAGCAU